ACUGCCACCCUCUCCCAGGUCUAGAGAGGGGUACCCACGGUGGAGGGAGGUGGGAGGCCGAGACGGCCCCGGGGGUCGGCGGAGACCCAGCGGGAGCAGGGGGAAAUCGGAAGAGCUGGGGGCAUGGAGCGGGCGAGUUUGGAGCGGAAUGAGCCGGGAGCCCUACGUUGUGGAAGGAAGACAACAGUAUAGGACCAUCAGCAGGACCGGACAGAGAGGGGCACGGUUUCUCUGUAUAGCCCUGGCUGUCCUGGAACUUGUAGACCAGGCUGGCCUUGAACUCAGAAAUCCGCCUGCCUCUGACUCCCGAGUGCUGAGAUUAAAGGUGUGCACCACCACACCCGACAAGGAAGCCUGUUUUAAGAAGUGAUUCCAUGGAGGAGUUCUGCGGCGGCUCAGGGCUUGACUAAACAGUGGACCUCAGACAAGAGAGGCUAAACCAGGCUGCAGGUGACAGGAAGAAUUGAAUAAACUGAAAGCAAAGGGCAGCCUUCUAAUUACGCUUCGUGGCUAUGUGGACAACCUGGAGAAGUCUGGAAACCUUUCCUCCUCCAUUUUACUACUUGAGGGAGCAGUGGGUGGGAUACUAGGCAAGUAGCUGCAAUGGCUGGUGCUUUAUGGUUCCCUGGCAUCCCCUGAAUCUGUUAACAUCCCAACCUUCUUGACAGCCAGCCCCACCCCAUCACAUUCUUACUCCUUCCCUUUCCAAGAAAGAAGCCAGAAGCCCGAAGCCAGCAGUAGAGCUCUGACUGGCUUGUAUGCCUAGAAAGGAAGGGCUCUUCUUUCGCCUCACGGGCACAAAUGGGACCCACGAGCGCCGAUUUCAGACUAUUCUGAUCCCUUCAAAAAGAAAGUUAGGAGUCCAGGCUACUGUGAGUGAAUUUGAUUCUAAUUGUUUCAGAGAAUAUGGAAUAAAAUAUCUCAUUUGCA
rnacentral:lncRNA from 1 species